rnacentral:rRNA from 1 species
UACGUAGGGUGCAAGCGUUGUCCGGAAUUAUUGGGCGUAAAGAGCUCGUAGGCGGUGUGUCGCGUCGGCCGUGAAAACCUGCAGCUUAACUGUGGGCUUGCGGUCGAUACGGGCAUCACUGGAGUUCGGCAGGGGAGACUGGAAUUCCUGGUGUAGCGGUGAAAUGCGCAGAUAUCAAGAGGAACACCGGUGGCGAAGGCGGGUCUCUGGGCCGAUACUGACGCUGAGGAGCGAAAGCGUGGGGAGCGAACAGG